UGAGUAGGAAAGAUGAUCGCGGAUGCCCAUAAAGCAUACGAGGAAAGUCCGAGCUCCAUAGGGCAGGGUGCUGGAUAACGUCCAGCGAGGGUGACCUUAGGGAAAGUGCCAUAGAAAUGUAAACCGCCAGCUAUGCUGGUAAGGAUGGAACGGUGCGGUAAGAGCGCACCAGCAGUCAGGUGACUGGCUGGCUAGGUAAACCCCACCUGGAGCAAGACCAAAUAGGGAAGGGAUGAAGCUGCCCGCUGAACCUUCCGGGUUGCGUCGCUAGAGCUGUCAGGUAACUGCCAGACUAGAUAGAUGAUCAUCACCGUGUAAGCGGUACAGAACUCGGCUUAUUGAUUACUCACAAC
rfam:Pelosinus fermentans B4 ctg38, whole genome shotgun sequence.